GGGUAGGCCCCUCAGUGAAGA
rnacentral:miRNA from 1 species